GAAUUGACGGGGACCCGCACAAGCGGUGGAGCGUGUGGUUUAAUUCGAUGCUAAGCGAAGGACCUUACCAAGGUUUGACAUGCUGAUGGUAGUGAAUUGAAAGAGGAACGACCACACUAUGUGUGGAGUUAGCACAGGUGGUGCACGGCCGUCGUCAGCUCGUGUCGUGAGGUGUUGGGUUAAGUCCCGCAACGAGCGCAACCCCUGCUCUUAGUUACCAGCGGUAAGGCCGGGUACUCUAAGAGGACCGCCGCCGACGAGGCGGAGGAAGGGGGGGAUGAAGUCAGGUAUCGUGCCCCUUAUAUCUUGGGCGACACACGCGCUACAAUGGGUUGGACAGAAGGGACCAAGACAGCGAUGUGGAGAAAAUCCUCAAACCAACCCCCAGUUCAGAUUGCAGGCUGAAACCCGCCUGCAUGAAGCCGGAAUCGCUAGUAAUCGCAGAUCAGCCAAGCUGCGGUGAAUACGUUCCCGGGUCUUGUACACACCG
rnacentral:rRNA from 1 species